UCACCUUAUUUCUCCAGAGGAUGAAGAGGGCUCUCAGGUGGAGUAUGCUCAAAGUAGUAAACUCAGGCAAUUGGAUACAGACCAUAUGAGUACKGGCGUCGAAUACAUUUCUGGGGUUGGGAGAGCAGCAGAAGAUGCCAUAGAAAAUAAAGAUGACACAGCAGCAGCAACAGCAGCAACAAGCAUUCAGAACCCACCAGAUCCUGGACAAAAGGAYUCAGAAUAAGGUGCAGAUGAUACUCAGCAAAGGAUUCAAAAAAGAGCAGGUUUAACUGGAGAUAAGGUUAGCAAAUCACUCAGAAUUACACCAUAAUUUCACUCUCAAAAAAGAGCAAAAUCAGAGUGCAUUUUUUUUAAAAGAUAUAAUUGACUGUUUAUAAUUUGUAACACCGGCGAGUUUUCUUCAGUAAUUAAAUAGUAAUUGAGCCUGCUCUGAAAAGAUUUUAAUGGAUUGCAUGAGAUGUCCAAAAGGGAGUAAUCGGAAGGCUUGUAGAUACUGAUGUAAGAAGAUAUUUCUAUGGAAACCACAUCCUGCAUUAUGGAAGAGAGAUGCUGCAACAUGAGUUGGUAUCAGAAUGACAGCUGUAACCUUCCUUUCAAAGAGAACAAUUGAUCUUGAAUUGCUUUCAUUUGAGCAUUUCUAGUAGAAAAAUCUGCCUUGAACCCUGUAGUGGAUAGAAGGGCGUACUAACUCUGUAGUCUACAUUAAUGCACAAAAAGUUUGGUAUAGAGAGAAAAAGUAAACUGUGGAGUAAACAGUAAACUGCCUUUAAGUUCAGACACUGUGAUCAUACUACAUGUAUAAUUUUAUGUAUAAUAUGCACAGAACUUUGCAUAGAUUACGGAUUGCAUGUUUUAUUAAGUGUAGACUGC